GGAAGCCAGCACAACACUGGAGUUUGUUCAGAGGUUUUUAGUCAGGAUUAAUCCUGACUCCAACAAGUGCACUGCCAAGGAGCAGAUGAGCAAGACGACUGGGAGAGUGGUGAAGCGGAAGACUUCAUACAUGAACCCCCAUGUAAUCUCCUUCAUCAGGGACUUCACGGAGUUCUAUUUGCUAACUGACUAGAUACAGGGCUCCAACUAGGAUUCUAGGUCUCCAAGGUCAGGGCAUGCAAGAGGCCAUAGUGGCAGGGGAAGUUUAUUUUCCUUUCUGUUUUAAAUGUUCAUGCAAAUGUUAAAUAUUUAAUUUUUUUUAAUGUUCAAUGUUUUAUUUUAUUUCAAUAUUGCCAUAGUGUUAUUUAUUACUCUUUAGAAUGUGGUAAUAAUCAGUUAUUUGCACAGCUUCAAAGUAGUUAAAUUUUUUGACCGUGUUGUAUCAAUUUGCGUUAUUGUUUUGCCAUAGCAACCAGUCAUGUGGAACUAGUGAAUGAACUAGUAACAGUUUGCUCUGUAACUUUACAAAACUUGUAAUGAAAUAGCCUCGUUUUGUAAAAUUUUCUUAAGUCGGUAAUUAAAUUUAGCAACAGUAGAAUACGCAGAUAAUAGACUUCACGCCAUUAAAAAUUACAAA